UUGCUUGGGCGCUGUGGACGAUUCCACAC
rnacentral:sRNA from 1 species